GACGAACGCUGGCGGCGUGCCUAAUACAUGCAAGUCGAACGAACCGCGACUAGGUGCUUGCACUUGGUCAAGGUGAGUGGCGAACGGGUGAGUAACACGUGGGUAACCUACCUCAUAGUGGGGGAUAACAGUCGGAAACGACUGCUAAUACCGCAUAGGACAUAGGAUCACAUGAUCCAGUGAGGAAAGGUGGCGCAAGCUAUCGCUAAGAGAUGGACCCGCGGGGCAUUAGCUAGUUGGUAGGGUAAAGGCCUACCAAGGCGAUGAUGCAUAGCCGACCUGAGAGGGUGGCCGGCCACAUUGGGACUGAGACACGGCCCAAACUCCUACGGGAGGCAGCAGUAGGGAAUCUUCCGCAAUGGACGCAAGUCUGACGGAGCAACGCCGCGUGAGUGAAGAAGGUCUUCGGAUCGUAAAGCUCUGUUGUUAGAGAAGAACAGCGCAUAGAGUAACUGUUAUGCGUGUGACGGUAUCUAACCAGAAAGCCACGGCUAACUACGUG
rnacentral:rRNA from 1 species